GUGGACGCAUCACUGGUGUUCGGGUUGUCAUGCCAAUGGCACUGCCCGGUAGCUAAAUGCGGAAAAGAUAAGUGCUGAAAGCAUCUAAGCACGAAACUUGCCCCGAGAUGAGUUCUCCCUGACUCCUUGAGAGUCCUGAAGGAACGUUGAAGACGACGACGUUGAUAGGUCGGGUGUGUAAGCGCAGCGAUGCGUUGAGCUAACCGAUACUAAUGAACCGUGAGGCUUAACC
rnacentral:rRNA from 1 species